GUCCAGGCAGCCACACCAGAAGCCCCGCGGAAGGCGGCUCGCGUCCCCCUCCCCCGCUCCAACCUCUCCCGGCUACCCCCACAGAAUCUUCCUUUUCUGCCGCUGGCUCCUCUUCCUCUUCCUCUUCCCCUUCCCUCCGCCUCUACGCAUUUCUUCUCAUUCGUUUUUCUUCGUUUGGUGAGGUGCGGUCGGCCGCAGCCCCUGGCCCCUGGGGAAGCCUGGGUUUACUCCGCCCGAUCUUGAGGCUUCAGCCGGGGCGCUGGGUUGGUGGCCAAAUUUCGAGCGGCUUCUGCAGCAGGGCGGCUCCGGUGUCUUCGCAGAGGUGAGAUGGGCAGAUGGCAUCCUGACCUCAAACGGCUCCACCGCCGGCCAGCUGUGUGAUCGUGGCUGAUGGGGUGCCAGGCGCUAGAAACUUGCUCUCCAUUCCUCUCUCCGUCUCCAUUUUACCGAAGAGGAAACUGAGGUUAAGAUCGCGUCGCGCUGGUCAGCGCCACAGGUGGCAUUCGAAUCCAGAUCCUGUUAGGAGGCGCUCUUGAGUGUAAACGAUUUUGGCGGCUCCCAGAGAAGGAUGGCAAUGAGACCCAAUGGGGGACUUCCGGCAUGUUCUGGGAGAGCCCCCGGGGCAGGACGGAGAGGGCAACUUUUCCCCGAGCCCGAGCUCGGGGAGAUGGCAGUGGAGGGGGCCAAGGUGGAAGCCAUCGCUCCCCGAUUUUUCCUCCUUGGAGUCUGUCCAUCCGCUUGUGAGUCGUCAGUCCUGUGCGGCCGUCGUCUCCGGAAGUCCUGGAUGGAGGAGGAGGCACACGGCCCCGCCCAGGGCAGAGGUGAUGGCGGGUCGACGCCCCCACUCCUUCACCCUCUCCAGCGGCGCCUCGCUGAGGUAGAGUCCUCCUAGCUGCAGAGGUGGGGCCUGGCUGUGGGGGAGUGGAGUUGGGCAGGCUGGAAGCCGGGGCCUGGGGACCCCUGGCUGGGCGGGGAGGAGCUGGAAUCCGGCUCACCGGCGACCCUGUCCCGAGCGCCCGCCGCAGGGUCGCCGCGUGGUAGCCCCGACAGGCCACGCGUCCCUCGGCACAAGUCCCAUUACAUUGUAUUUAUGUUUCACUUUAUUGUUUUUUCUCCUCUCUUAUUAUUGUCUCACACUGGGGGAGGCAAAGGAUAUGAUAUAUUCAUCUUUAUUAUACCAAAUCUGUGUGAAGCAUUUAAUAAAACGCUGUUUCCCC